UUUGUAUUUAACUGUUUUGUUAUUUGAUUUUGCCAUGUAAUUAUGGACUUUCCGAAUUGAUUUUCCUCUUAAGUUCAGUAUUUUUGUGAUUUUACUUUUCACCACUUUACACGCAAUAACAGGCUUUUGUCGUUGUUUUCAUUUGUUUUAUUGGUCGUUAGUGAUAUCGCGAUUCUCGUUUUUUCCCUUAUUUGGCGAUACAUACCGAAAAAUUCGAAGCAUUUAUUCUGUCACCAAAUUGUUUAUUUUUUUUCUGUAUGGUCGAACAGACAAAGCUCCUUACGCAGUAAUUUGUAGUUUGUGAUUAGUUUUUACGAUUUCUUUCAA
rnacentral:lncRNA from 1 species